rnacentral:tRNA from 1 species
GGGGCAGCAAGACGAGGUGGUGACCGGCGCACGAGAACCCACUCGUAAUGCGUAGGUCGUGGGUUCGAUUCCCACAGGCGGCUCCA